rnacentral:tRNA from 9 species
CGGAGUGUAGCUCAGCUUGGUAGAGCACUGCCUUCGGGAGGCAGGGGUCGGAGGUUCGAAUCCUCUCACUCCGACCA